GUCCACGCUGUAAACGAUGAAUACUAGGUGUGGGGGGACUGACCCCUUCCGUGCCGCAGUUAACACAAUAAGUAUUCCACCUGGGGGAGUACGACCGCAAGGUUGAAACUCAAAGGAAUUGACGGGGGCCCGCACAAGCAGUGGAUUAUGUGGUUUAAUUCGACGCAACGCGAAGAACCUUACCGGGAUUUGACAUCCUACUAACGAAGUAGAGAUACAUUAGGUGCCCUUCGGGGAAAGUAGAGACAGGUGGUGCAUGGUUGUCGU
rnacentral:rRNA from 1 species